AUCAGGUGUCAGGGAGAUUGCCUAACCAUCAGUCAACAAAUGGGGUCAGACUCACAGACUAUACAUUCAUUCACCAGUCACUGAGUCCAGCACCUUCUUCCUCUGCCAUUUCCUGUACCAGGCACUGUCCUGAAAGGAUGGUCAGACUUACAUCUUGGCAUCAAAGAACUCAAAGUCUGCUGAAGUGAAGAAGGGUGAAGUGAAGAAGCCCAUAGUAGGAUGGGCUAUGAUAAAGGUUACCUGAGCGGGGUGCAACCCCUCACUGCACGUAUAUGUGGAACCUUAAAUCCAAAAAAGGGGAAGGGACUUCACCAAGACCACACAGUUAGGGGCAGGCUUAGUCCUUGCAACUACAUUGCCUUGUCUUUUGAUGUCCAGCCUUCAUUUUGGGAGAUCUACUCUACCAUCUUUAACAUACUUGUCUCAAAAAUGGCAGAAGAGAGGGGUUAAUAACUUGCCUAUGAUUAUGCAGAUAAUAAAUAAUGAAAGAAAGCA